UUCAUAUGAUAUUAACCUCAAAAAUGAUCUUUGAAAACAAACAACAACAAAUAACUCAAAGAAAUAACUACAUACUACAUAAUAAUAACUGAUAAUAAUGACUUUUAAUGGUAUAAAGGCUGAUGAAGUUUUAGACAACCAAUACAAGAUUCAGAACUCGGCAUCGCGAUAAACAAGUAAAAUUGUACAUUCAGGAACUCGUUUAAAUAUUAUAGGUUGAUUGAAGAAUAAUCUACAAUUGAUUAGAGCCUAUGACGAUGCGAAGAUAAUUAAUCACCUAACUUUAAGAAACCAGCCUAAAGAAGUUUACAUGCAUCUCAUCUAACCAUUAUAGAUCAGUAGUGAUUUUUCAUAAUUUGAAUGAACUCACAGAUAGCAAUGGGGCACCGCACCGAAGCAGUAUUACAAAAUGUGAAAUAAAACUGUAGUACAUAUUGCUCUAUAAAAUUUAAUAGAAAUAAAUUUAUUUAUGAAAAUUAA